GAUCCUGGCUCAGGACGAACGCUGGCGGCGUGCCUAAUACAUGCAAGUAGAACGCUGAAGAGAGGAGCUUGCUCUUCUUGGAUGAGUUGCGAACGGGUGAGUAACGCGUAGGUAACCUGCCUUGUAGCGGGGGAUAACUAUUGGAAACGAUAGCUAAUACCGCAUAACAAUGGGUGACACAUGUCAUUUAUUUGAAAGGGGCAAUUGCUCCACUACAAGAUGGACCUGCGUUGUA
rnacentral:rRNA from 1 species